AGCGAACGCUAGCGGCGGGCCUAACACAUGCAAGUCGAGCGCAUACCUUCGGGUAUGAGCGGCGGACGGGUGAGUAACACGUAGGUAAUCUACCCUUUGGUGGGGAAUAACCCGGGGAAACUCGGGCUAAUGCCGCACGAGGUCUACGGAUCAAAGCCUUCGGGCGCCAGAGGAUGAGCCUGCGUUGCAUUACCUAGUUGGCGGGGUAACGGCCCACCAAGGGGACGAUGCAUAGCUGGUCUGAGAGGAUGAUCAGCCACACUGGGACUGAGACACGGCCCAGACUCCUACGGGAGGCAGCAGUGGGGAAUAUUGCGCAAUGGGGGAAACCCUGACGCAGCUACGCCGCGUGGGUGAUGAAGGCCUUCGGGUUGUAAAGCCCUGUCGGGAGGGACGAAUACUGACGGUACCUCCCAAGAAAGCACCGGCUAACUCCGUGCCAGCAGCCGCGGUAU
rnacentral:rRNA from 1 species